GAUUAACGCUAGCGGCAGGCCUAAUACAUGCAAGUCGAACGGCAGCGGGUCCAGCAAUGGAUGCCGGCGAGUGGCGCACGGGUGCGUAACACGUAUGCAAUCUACCUUUAACUGGGGGAUAGCCCCGAGAAAUCGGGAUUAAUACCCCAUAACAUUAUGGUGAGGCAUCUCACUAUAAUUAAAGCUCCGGCGGUUUUAGAUGAGCAUGCGCGACAUUAGUUAGUUGGUGAGGUAACGGCUUACCAAGACCGCGAUGUCUAGGGGUUCUGAGAGGAUUCACCCCCACACUGGUACUGAGACACGGACCAGACUCCUACGGGAGGCAG
rnacentral:rRNA from 1 species